rnacentral:pre_miRNA from 1 species
UUUUUAGCAUAAGUAUAUCCUAUACAAUGUUUGGGACAUAAUUAUACUAAAA